rnacentral:rRNA from 1 species
AAAGAAACCAACAGGGAUUGCCUCAGUAACGGCGAGUGAAGCGGCAACAGCUCAAAUUUGAAAUCUGGCCUCACGGUCCGAGUUGUAAUUUGUAGAGGAUGCUUCGAGCAUGGUCUGGCCUAAGUUCCUUGGAACAGGACGUCAUAGAGGGUGAGAAUCCCGUAUGCGGCCAGGUGCCUACGCUCAUGUGAAGCUCCUUCGACGAGUCGAGUUGUUUGGGAAUGCAGCUCAAAAUGGGUGGUAAAUUUCAUCUAAAGCUAAAUAUUGGCCAGAGACCGAUAGCGCACAAGUAGAGUGAUCGAAAGAUGAAAAGCACUUUGGAAAGAGAGUUAAACAGUACGUGAAAUUGUUGAAAGGGAAGCGCUUGCAACCAGACUUGCGCGCGGCUGAUCAUCCGGUGUUCUCACCGGUGCACUCGGUCGCGCUCAGGCCAGCAUCGGUUUCGGUGGUUGGAUAAAGGCCCUAGGAAUGUAGCUUCUCUCGGGGAGUGUUAUAGCCUAGGGUGCAAUGCAGCCCACCGGGACCGAGGACCGCGCUUCGGCUAGGAUGCUGGCGUAAUGGUUGUAAGCGACCCGUCUUGAAACACGGACCAAGGAGUCUAACAUCUAUGCGAGUGUUUGGGUGUCAAACCCAUACGCGUAAUGAAAGUGAACGGAGGUGAGAACCCUUAAGGGUGCAUCAUCGACCGAUCCUGAUGUCUUCGGAUGGAUUUGAGUAAGAGCAUGGCUGUUGGGACCCGAAAGAUGGUGAACUAUGCCUGAAUAGGGUGAAGCCAGAGGAAACUCUGGUGGAGGCUCGCAGCGGUUCUGACGUGCAAAUCGAUCGUCAAAUUUGGGCAUAGGGGCGAAAGACUAAUCGAACCAUCUAGUAGCUGGUUCCUGCCGA